UACGUAGGGUGCGAGCGUUAAUCGGAAUUACUGGGCGUAAAGCAUGCGCAGGCGGCUUCGCAAGUCAGGCGUGAAAUCCCCGGGCUUAACCUGGGAAUGGCGUCUGAAACUACGGAGCUGGAGUGUGGCAGAGGGAGGUAGAAUUCCACGUGUAGCGGUGAAAUGCGUAGAUAUGUGGAGGAAUACCGAUGGCGAAGGCAGCCUCCUGGGCCAACACUGACGCUCAUGCACGAAAGCGUGGGGAGCAAACAGG
rnacentral:rRNA from 1 species